rnacentral:misc_RNA from 1 species
GUCCCAUCUAUAGCAAUUGCAUUUGUGACAUACGAGGUGGUGAAGGACAUUCUAGGAGUUGAGAUUAGAAUAUCAGACUGAAGCGUGGGCUCCUCCCUAAUGAUCGUUGAACAAGUGUGCUAUUUUUGUAGGCAAGGGAAUGGGUAGAAGGUAAAUUAGGGUAAUUUUCUUCCACAUUUCUCUAUGUGAGUGAGUUUAAAGAUGCAUUUAAGGCUGUCAUAAAUUGUUUUCCCUUCUCUGUUUCCUUGAGAACAUGCUGGAGUUGUCCCCUCAACAUACUUAUUGACAAUAUAAAUGAGAAGCUGACGUAUGUUGAGGGGACAACUCACGAAAUUCAAUUGGAUGCCUCUCCAUGAGAAUUGAGAUUUUCUGAGCAAAAAAAAAAAAAAAA